ACAGAGGUGGCAAGCGUUGUCCGGAAUCACUGGGCGUAAAGGGCGCGUAGGUGGCGGCAUAAGGCUGUGGUGAAAGUCUGGGGCUCAACUCCAGAUCGGCCGCGGCGACUGUGUCGCUUGGGCACCGUAGAGGCAGAUGGAAUUCCGGGUGUAGCGGUGAAAUGCGUAGAUAUCUGGAGGAACACCGGUGGCGAAGGCGGCAUCCUGGACCGGCAUUGACGCUGAGGCGCGAAAGCCAGGGGAGCAAACGGGA
rnacentral:rRNA from 1 species